GAUAUAUGUAUUGUCAAGUGGAUAACUAUUGGCUUGAUCUUCAUUUAUGGAUGAUUCUGGUGACAUGGGCAAAUUUAACUCUAAUUCUACAAGCAAAUAUAAAUAAACUUUAUAUAACAACUUCAAAUAACGCGGCAAUUUCUUGUGAAUAGCGAGGCAAGAUCGACACGCUUACCUGUAUGUCAUUCGAUUUUCUACAACGUCGACGGAAAUUGAAUAAUAGCGAGACGACAGGACAAUUACCGUGAAUCCAUCGUGAUGAUUUCAAUAUCAUAAAUGGGACCAGGACGAAUUUUUCCGUGCGACGGCUGCCACUUUCGAAAUUGACUCGUUUUUUUUCCUCUCCAACCUCUCUUGAACAGGAUAUUAGAAGUCCGAUCUCGUUACAUUUCACGCUGUGACACCGGUGACUCAAUCGACCAAACGUUACCCUUCGUUUCCCAACUUUUUGUUUUUCUUCCUUCUUUCUUCCUUCUUUUUCUUUAUUUUUUUUUCUCGCACGCACCCACUCGUUGAUAAGUGUGUUUUGAAAAGAAACAUUGUAACGACGAUUUAUUUCGAACGUCAUACGUACGUCAAUCUAGAAGUUACAACUUCGAAGUUUAAAUGAAAGAGAAAUAGUUAUAAUGAUUUCAUAUCGAAAUAUCGUAUGCAAAAACACAAGUUUUCAGAUCAAUUAUGAAAGAAAAUUCGAAUGAAGAUGUCAAAAUCAGGAAUAUAUAAAUUAAUAAAAUAAGAAACAUAAAGUAAUUUGUAUUGAUUAUUGUAAUUCUAAUUUUAGAAUUUUUGUUAAAAUAAAUAUUUUUAUAUAUUUCGUUUACUUUCUUAUAUAUACAAAGUUUGAAAUUUAAUGUUUCUCCUAUUAAUAGAAAAUUUUUCUAUUAUAAAUAAAAUGUUAAAUAAUCGAAUUAGAUUUUAUGUAUUUCAUUUUAUCUAAGGCAAAAUUACUUAUAAAUAUAUUAUUUAAAGUUAUUUAUUAAUAAAUAAGAUAUUUUUACUAAUUUAUUAAUAGAAAUAAUAUUAUAUUAUUUUUGUAAUGUAUAUCAACUUUUCUUGUUUGUUUUGACUUUUAAAAUCGAUUCUUCAAAGAUAUAUUAAUAUUUUCCAUAGCUAAUCACAGAAUAUAUUCGUAUUCUACGUUACAAAAAUUUAACUUUUUUAACUUUUUAUUUUUAUUGAAACUUUAUGAAUAUCUAGAACAUAAUGGAUCAUAUAUAUGCCAUUUUGAAAAUGAAGAAAAUGAAAUCAACGAGUGUAAAGUUUCAAUAUUUUUUUGUUCUUUCAAAUAACUUUAUAAUGAUACAAGAUAGAGCAAAAGUAGAAAGUUUUAAAAUAUAAAAUAUUCGGUUUUUAACGCUCCAUUACUCUGUUAUGAAAAAUACUAAGAUUUCCUGUGGAUAAAUUUAUUACAAGCUUUCAAUAAGAAUUUUCAGAUAAGAUGAAUUUUCUUGUAAUGCAGAAUAUGAAUAUUUUCAACUAUGUUAAAUAUGCAUACGUUAUUCACUUGUUCGAUAGAAAUUAACGGAUUAUUAAUUGCAUUUAGAGGGAAGAAACAGGAAAUCAGAUUACAGGAUCUAUAAAAGCGAGAGAAAUUUAACAUGAUUUCACAGAACGUUAUCAGGGUUGUACGUUUGCCAGGAGAAUCAUCGCGCCGCGGUAAAAUAGAUUCCGGGCUAUGAAGGAACAAAUUCGCCGCAUUUAAGGAUAAUGUAUUGCUACUUGUGCUAUUUCUGUCGGCGAGUAAAUAACGCCGGUAAUCGCUUUGUCACGGGCGAUAAAACGAAGUUCUUUUGUCAUUGUUCCAUGCCGGAUUUAUAGUUUGACGUUCGCCCCUAACCACCAUUUUAUCUUUGAUUAAUGAACCGACUGAAUUUAUUUAAUAAUUAUACGUGUGUAUACACACGUGAUUCCAGUUUUUCUCUUCUUUUCACGAUUUUAUCUUAUAUGGAGUUAUAUAAACUCCCUUUUCAUCAUAAUUUCUUAAUUAAUUUUCCUUCUUUUUAACGUCUUUUUAACGAUAAACCUCAAAAGCACGAUGGCGGUUUUUGAGGCAAAGAACUGAAAGUGACUCUGAUUCGUUUUAUCGCCGAGAUAAUUUUUUGGUACGUAAUUAGAAUUUGUAAUACAUUACAGAACCGACUUAUAAUAUAUAUAUAUAUUGUUACACGCAUAUGAUUAAAAAGUAUUAUUGUGAAAAUAAUUAAACGUGUAACGUUUCUAUUUAAACAGAAGUUAAUAUUAAUUUUAAGCGCACUUUUUAAAAUUAUGAAAAUAAAAAUUUAAAAUUAA